UACGGGGGGAGCAAGCGUUGUUCGGAUUUACUGGGCGUAAAGGGCGCGUAGGCGGCCACCGCAAGUCGACUGUGAAAUCUCCGGGCUUAACCCGGAAAGGUCAGCCGAUACUGCGGGGCUAGAGUGCAGAAGGGGCAACUGGAAUUCUCGGUGUAGCGGUGAAAUGCGUAGAUAUCUGGAAGAACACCGGUGGCGAAGGCGGUCAACUGGCCCUCAACUGACGCUGAGGCACGAAAGCGUGGGGAUCAAACAGG
rnacentral:rRNA from 1 species